UUUUUUCAGAUGGCUGAAGAACGGCGUGUUCAGAUGGAAAGAGAAAAACAUGCUAAGAGGAAAGAAGAAAAACGUGCUAGGGAAAGACGUGAGGCAGCCAAAAGCAGUGGUCAAAAAAGUAGCAGAAGACAUCACCAGAAGUAAAAAGGGGAAAAGCACAUUUAUGUUGUGAACAUAACUUUAUGAUAUAAUAUGAUCAUAUCAUUAAAAUAAAGAAACAUAAAUUAGUCAACGAAUUAGUAAUAACUGGACAAUACAUUUUGAAUUUAGACUUUUUACGUUGGUGAUUCAAUAAAUUAUGCCAUUGGUCA